UACAGAGGUCCCAAGCGUUGUUCGGAUUCAUUGGGCGUAAAGGGUGCGUAGGUGGUGAGGUAAGUCGGAUGUGAAAGCUCGGAGCUCAACUCCGAAAUGGCAUUGGAAACUACCUUGCUCGAGGGUUGGAGGGGGGACUGGAAUGCUUGGUGUAGCAGUGAAAUGCGUAGAUAUCAAGCGGAACACCAGUGGCGAAGGCGAGUCCCUGGACAACUCCUGACACUGAGGCACGAAAGCUAGGGGAGCAAACAGG
rnacentral:rRNA from 1 species